rnacentral:rRNA from 1 species
UACGGAGGGUGCAAGCGUUGUCCGGAUUUAUUGGGUUUAAAGGGUGCGUAGGCGGUAUUGUAAGUCAGUGGUGAAAUCUUGCUGCUCAACAGUAAAAUUGCCAUUGAUACUGCAGUACUUGAGUCCAUUCGAGGUGGUUGGAAUGCGUAGUGUAGCGGUGAAAUGCAUAGAUAUUACGCAGAACACCUAUUGCGAAGGCA